rnacentral:rRNA from 1 species
AGUGAACGCUGGCGGUAGGCCUAACACAUGCAAGUCGAACGGCAGCACAGUAAUAGCUUGCUCUUACGGGUGGCGAGUGGCGGACGGGUGAGGAAUACAUCGGAAUCUACUUUUUCGUGGGGGAUAACGUAGGGAAACUUACGCUAAUACCGCAUACGACCUACGGGUGAAAGCAGGGGAUCUUCGGACCUUGCGCGAUUGAAUGAGCCGAUGUCGGAUUAGCUAGUUGGCGGGGUAAAGGCCCACCAAGGCGACGAUCCGUAGCUGGUCUGAGAGGAUGAUCAGCCACACUGGAACUGAGACACGGUCCAGACUCCUACGGGAGGCAGCAGUGGGGAAUAUUGGACAAUGGGCGCAAGCCUGAUCCAGCCAUACCGCGUGGGUGAAGAAGGCCUUCGGGUUGUAAAGCCCUUUUGUUGGGAAAGAAAAGCAGCAGGUUAAUACCCCGCUGUUCUGACGUUACCCAAAGAAUAAGCACCGGCUAACUUCGUG